AGAAUAUAGCUCAGUGGUAGAGUGCCUGCUUAGCAUGCACAAGGUCCUGGGUUCAAUCCCUAGUACCUCUA
rnacentral:tRNA from 1 species